rnacentral:rRNA from 1 species
UACGGAGGGUGCAAGCGUUAUCCGGAUUCACUGGGUUUAAAGGGUGCGUAGGCGGAUUGGGAAGUCCGUGGUGAAAUCCCCGAGCUUAACUCGGGAACUGCCGUGGAUACUCUCAGUCUUGAAUAUCGUGGAGGUAAGCGGAAUAUGUCAUGUAGCGGUGAAAUGCUUAGAGAUGACAUAGAACACCAAUUGCGAAGGCAGCUUACUACACGGUCAUUGACGCUGAGGCACGAAAGCGUGGGGAUCAAACAGG